rnacentral:sRNA from 1 species
UUAUGAAUACAAGAGAAAGUUGUUGGA